rnacentral:tRNA from 1 species
AGUAGCUCAGUUGGCUAGAGCAUCAGCCUUCCAAGCUGAGGGUCGCGGGUUCGAGCCCCGUCU